UACGAAGGGGGCUAGCGUUGCUCGGAAUUACUGGGCGUAAAGGGCGCGUAGGCGGACAGUUUAGUCAGAGGUGAAAGCCCAGGGCUCAACCUUGGAAUUGCCUUUGAUACUGGCUGUCUUGAGUUCGGGAGAGGUGAGUGGAAUGCCGAGUGUAGAGGUGAAAUUCGUAGAUAUUCGGAAGAACACCAGUGGCGAAGGCGACUUACUGGACACAUAUUGACGCUGAGGUGCGAAAGCGUGGGGAGCAAACAGG
rnacentral:rRNA from 1 species